UAAUAAUAUAAAUUAUUAAGGAUUAAUUGCAGGUGGUCCCUGCAAAUAUAAUAAAUUAUAAAUAUAUAUUUUUAUAAAGUUUAACUUUUAUAUAUUAUUUCUAUAAAAAAUUUUGAUAUUUUCAAAUAUAUUCCUGCCGUUAGAAUCCGUAAAAAAAAAUUAAUUAACCAUAGAUUGAAUACUUAGCCCUGAUUAGUUAAUGAGGUGAAUUGAUUUUUUUACCGCUCUUUAAUUAAGUUUUGAAAAAUAUAUUUGUGAGGGCAAAAAGAUCAAUUUACUUAUAAAAUAGACCUUAUUUUAAAUAUAACAAACCUGAGAGACAUAUUUGAAAACAUUAGGGCUUUUAUAAGGACAAUAUAUGAGAGUUGAACUUUGUAGAAAAAUAUUUACAAUUCAUUAUAUUUGCAGGGAGCUGUACGAAAUUAAUUCUACAAUUAAAAUACAUAAUAUUAUAUGUAUAUAGAGUUUUGGUUUUUAGAUAUAUUUUGCCGGCUCAUAUAAUCAAACCAGUAAAACCUUACUCCCUCUCUUUCACUUGCUCGCAUAGUCACUUUCUCUUACAUUAUUUUUUAAUAUUAUAAUAUUGUAUCAAUCGUCUUUAGCGCAAGUGGCAAAAAACUUCAUAGUUGGAACCUGAGGUUCCAAGUUCGAAUCUUAGUUGAUGCACAUUUCUAGCUAAGUUUAUUUCUAAAUGAAAUAAAUAAAGCGAAUAGUAUGCUAUCUAUUUCUCAAAAAAAAAAAAUUAUAAUAUUAUCUUUACGUAUUUAUUUUGCAUGUUGAACUAUUAGACAUAUUUUUUUUAUAAUAUUUUUAGAUAAUAUUUUAUAAAAAUUAAACUAUGCUCG
rnacentral:lncRNA from 1 species